UCAUAGUUGUUUUUUUUUCUGUUGAGUUUAAUAAUGAGGGAUGUAUCAUCUACAAACAGUACAAUGUCGCAAGUCUUAUUUGCAAAAUAAGGUAAAUCAUUUAUAUAUAUUAAGAACAGGAGAGGUCCUAAAAUUUAACCCUGUGGUACACGCAACAGC